CGGGUUUGGAUGCAUGGCUCAGAUUGAACGCUGGCGGCAUGCCUAACACAUGCAAGUCGACACGGUAACAGGCCGUAUGGGAUCCCUUCGGGGUGACCUUGGCGCUGACGAGUGGCGGACGGGUGAGUAAUACUUAGCGAAUCUGCCCAAUAGUGGGGGACAACUCGAGGAAACUCGAGCUAAUACCGCAUACGCCCUACGGGGGAAAGCGGGGGAUCUUCGGACCUCGCGCUAUUGGAUGAGCCUAAGUCGGAUUAGCUUGUCUGGUAGGGUAAAGGCCUACCAAGGCGACGAUCCGUAGCUGGUCUGAGAGGACNAUCAGCCACACUGGGCACUGAGCACACGGCCCCAGACUCCUACGGGAGGCAGCAUUGGGGAAUAUUGGACAAUGGGCGCAAGCCUGAUCCAAGCAAUGCCGCGUGUGUGAAAAA
rnacentral:rRNA from 1 species